AGUGUCGUCUGGGCGGCCGCGGGUGGCUUUGGCCACAUGAGGAAAGUCCGGACUCCAUAGGGCGCGAUGGUGGCUAACUGCCACCGGGGGCAACCCCAGGGAAAGUGCCACAGAAAGUAAACCGCCUAAGCGUUUCGGCGCCGGCAAGGGUGAAAGGGUGAGGUAAGAGCUCACCGCGCGCUUGGUGACAAGCGUGGCAGGGUAAACCCCAUCGGGAGAAAGCCCAUGUAGGGAGGAAAGGCGCGGCCCGCGCCGUUUGGACCUCCGGGUAGGGCGUUUGAGGCUUGUGGCAACACAAGUCCUAGAGAAAUGGUCGCUGCUUCCUCGGAAGCACAGGAUCCGGCUUAUACGACGGCACUCACU
rnacentral:RNase_P_RNA from 1 species